CCUACGGGUGGCAGCAGUGAGGAAUAUUGGUCAAUGGACGAGAGUCUGAACCAGCCAUGCCGCGUGAAGGAUGAAGGCGUUUGCGUCGUAAACUUCUUUUAUCAGGGAAGCGGUACCUGAGGAAUAAGCACCGGCUAACUCCGUGCCAGCAGCCGCGGUAAUACGGAGGGUGCAAGCGUUAUCCGGAUUUACUGGGUUUAAAGGGUGUGUAGGCGGGCCUUUAAGUCAGUGGUGAAAUCUUCGGGCUCAACCCGGAAACUGCCAUUGAUACUAUUGGUCUUGAAUCUUGUUGAGGUGGGCGGAAUACAUCAUGUAGCGGUGAAAUGCUUAGAGAUGAUGUAGAACACCGAUUGCGAAGGCAGCUCACUAAGCAAGAUUGACGCUGAGGCACGAAAGCGUGGGGAUCAAACAGGAUUAGAUACCCUUGUAGUC
rnacentral:rRNA from 1 species